AGCGGAGUGGUAGCAGCUGGCAGCUCGCUUGGCUCAUAACCAAGAGGUCGGUGGUUCGAGUCCAUCCUCCGCAA
rnacentral:tRNA from 1 species